AAUAUCAUUAUUUUCUAUUUAUAACUACCAACUAUUUUUCUUAUUUCCAUCUUAUCUAUUUAAACACUAUUUUUCUUAAUUUCAGGAACAACUCAAUUAUCAUUCAAAUGCAAAAUUGGUCUAUUCCAGACUUAACCCUAUCCCUGAAAUAAUUAGUUCUUACUUAACCCCGAACCAAACGAAACCUGAAGUUUAAUUUAUUAUUAAUUUUUUGUUUGAAUUUUUUAAAUUAUUCUGCAGUUAAAUUAAGUUAACUGGAAGUGAUUUGUUACUGAUGUGGCAAUAGCACAAUAAUAUUUCAAUUGAUGGCAUGAUAAUAACUAAAAUGUUAUAUUACUGUUACAUCGGUGGCACAUCAUUAUUUAUAUCAAUUAAAUUAAAUUAUAAGACUUAAUUAUAAUAAUUUAAAUAUGUUGAAUUAAAAAUUAUUAUUAAUUAAA
rnacentral:lncRNA from 1 species